UACGUAGGGUGCGAGCGCUAAUCGGAAUUACUGGGCGUAAAGCGUGCGCAGGCGGUUCGUUAAGUUCGAUGUGAAAGCCCCGGGCUCAACCUGGGAACUGCAUUGGAAACUGGCGAGCUUGAAUGCGGCAGAGGGGGGUGGAAUUCCGCGUGUAGCAGUGAAAUGCGUAGAGAUGCGGAGGAACACCGAUGGCGAAGGCAGCCCCCUGGGCCGACAUUGACGCUCAGGCACGAAAGCGUGGGGAGCAAACAGG
rnacentral:rRNA from 1 species